rnacentral:RNase_P_RNA from 1 species
CGAGUCGGCCGGGCGGUCGCGUCAUCACGGGCUCCGGCCCGGCGGUGCCGAGGAACGUCCGGACUCCACAGGGCAGGGUGGUUGUUAACGGCAACCCGGGGCGACCCGCGGGACAGUGCCACAGAGAACAGACCGCCCGCCGCCCCCUGGGGCAGCGGGUAAGGGUGAAACGGUGAGGUAAGAGCUCACCAGCACCCCGGGUGACCGGGGUGGCUAGGUAAACCCCACCCGGAGCAAGACCAAGAAAGGCCGCUCGAUCCGCUUCGGCGGGCGGGUGGCCGCGCGGACGUUCGAGGGUGGCCCGCCCGAUGUCCGCGGGUAGGUUGCUCGAGCCUGCCGGCGACGGCAGGCCUAGAUGGAUGGCCGCCGCCGCGCGCGAGCGCGGCACAGAAUCCGGCGUACAGGCCGACUCGUCCG